UACGGGGGGAGCAAGCGUUGUUCGGAUUUACUGGGCGUAAAGGGCGCGUAGGCGGCCACCGCAAGUCGACUGUGAAAUCUCCGGGCUUAACCCGGAAAGGACAGCCGAUACUGCGGGGCUAGAGUGCAGAAGGGGCAACUGGAAUUCUCGGUGUAGCGGUGAAAUGCGUAGAUAUCGAGAGGAACACCUGCGGCGAAGGCGGGUUGCUGGGCUGACACUGACGCUGAUGCGCGAAAGCUAGGGGAGCGAACGGG
rnacentral:rRNA from 1 species